CCUCACGCUUUUAUAUUUUAAAUUAAUUACCUUCCUAAUUCUAGUUUCCUAACCCCUAUAUAAACCCAUCACUUCGAUCCCCUCUUAACUCAUUGCAAGUGUACAGAGCUUCAAACAUGGGUCGCUGGUUACCUCUCCUCUCCCUACUACUCGUUGCCGCAGCAGCAACUGCACAUGCAACUUCACCUGCACAAGUUUAUUGGCGUUCCAUCCUACCUAACACUCCUAUGCCAAGCGCCAUUAGCAACCUCCUAAGCUCUCGUCUCUCUAUCUCUCUCCUUUUUGACCGAAAUUUGUAUUAGAUUGUUUUGAGAUCAUUUUUUUAUUAAUUAUAUUUGUUUUUAAAAUAAUAAAAUAUUAAUUAGAGCGGCUGUAAGCCCCUACGUUCCAGAAAUAUUUUUUUUUGUUUU